rnacentral:rRNA from 1 species
CAUCGCAAAGAUGAGUGGCAGACGGGUGAGUAAACGCGUGGGAACAUACCCUUUCUUGCGGAAUAGCUCCGGGAAACUGGAAUUAAUACCGCAUACGCCCUACGGGGGAAAGAUUUAUCGGGGAAGGAUUGGCCCACGUUGGAUUAGCUAGUUGGUGGGGUAAAGGCCUACCAAGGCGACGAUCCAUAGCUGGUCUGAGAGGAUGAUCAGCCACAUUGGGACUGAGACACGGCCCAAACUCCUACGGGAGGCAGCAGUGGGGAAUAUUGGACAAUGGGCGCAAGCCUGAUCCAGCCAUGCCGCGUGAGUGAUGAAGGCCUUAGGGUUGUAAAGCUCUUUCACCGAUGAAGAUAAUGACGGUAGUCGGAGAAGAAGCCCCGGCUAACUUCGUGCCAGCAGCCGCGGUAAUACGAAGGGGGCUAGCGUUGUUCGGAAUUACUGGGCGUAAAGCGCACGUAGGCGGAUAUUUAAGUCAGGGGUGAAAUCCCGCAGCUCAACUGCGGAACUGCCUUUGAUACUGGGUAUCUUGAGUAUGGAAGAGGUAAGUGGAAUUCCGAGUGUAGAGGUGAAAUUCGUAGAUAUUCGGAGGAACACCAGUGGCGAAGGCGGCUUACUGGUCCAUUACUGACGCUGAGGU